UGGGGAAUUUUGGACAAUGGGCGCAAGCCUGAUCCAGCGACGCCGCGUGGAUGAUGAAGGCCUUCGGGUUGUAAAGUCCUUUCGGUAGGAAAGAUUAUGACGGUACCUACAGAAGAAGCUCCGGCUAACUUCGUGCCAGCAGCCGCGGUAAUACGAAGGGAGCUAGCGUUACUCGGAAUUAUUGGGCGUAAAGCGUGCGUAGGCGGCCGAGAAAGUUGGAUGUGAAAGCCCAGGGCUCAACCCUGGAAUU
rnacentral:rRNA from 1 species